UAAAGAAAGCGUAAUAGCUCACUGGUCGAGUCGGCCUGCGCGGAAGAUGUAACGGGGCUAAACCAUGCACCGAAGCUGCGGCAGCGACACUGUGUGUUGUUGGGUAGGGGAGCGUUCUGUAAGCCUGUGAAGGUGGCCUGUGAGGGUUGCUGGAGGUAUCAGAAGUGCGAAUGCUGACAUAAGUAACGAUAAAGCGGGUGGAAAGCCCGCUCGCCGGAAGACCAA
rnacentral:rRNA from 1 species